GGGGUUGUGGCUCAGUGGUAGAGCACUUGUCUAGCAUGUGCAAGACCCUGGGUUCGAUCCUCAGCACCA
rfam:Ictidomys tridecemlineatus contig010035, whole genome shotgun sequence.